UACGUAGGGUGCGAGCGUUGUCCGGAAUUACUGGGCGUAAAGAGCUCGUAGGUGGUUUGUCGCGUCGUUCGUGAAAACCGGGGGCUUAACCCUCGGCGUGCGGGCGAUACGGGCAGACUUGAGUACUGCAGGGGAGACUGGAAUUCCUGGUGUAGCGGUGGAAUGCGCAGAUAUCAGGAGGAACACCGGUGGCGAAGGCGGGUCUCUGGGCAGUAACUGACGCUGAGGAGCGAAAGCGUGGGGAGCGAACAGG
rnacentral:rRNA from 1 species